UGGAGCAAUGAUGAGAGUGUGUCAUGAACCAGCAAUUUUGAUUAAAUUAAUUCUAUGCACCUGAGGUCAAAA
rnacentral:snoRNA from 1 species